rnacentral:lncRNA from 1 species
UGCACAGCAACAUGGCCAAUCUUUCCUAAGCUGCUCAGCUUACAAGAAAAGGAAUCAUACUGCUAAGAAUUCAAACUUCAGCAGUCAUAGGGAGCCUUGGGAGGACCCCGAAUCACUGAUGGAAUUGCGCAGUGCAUGGAGAUGGCUCAGCAGGAUGAGGUGUCACUGGAAGAUGGUGCGGGCUGCAGAGAGGGAUGCUUUCAAAUGGGAUUAACCAGUCCUCCUUCCUUCACUUCCACAUGAAUGCUGGGCAGCCCAGGGUCAACCCACUGCACCCU